UACGAAGGGGGCUAGCGUUGCUCGGAAUUACUGGGCGUAAAGGGCGCGUAGGCGGCCAUGCGUGUCUUCCGUGAAAUCCCUCGGCUUAACCGAGGACGUGCGGAAGAAACUGCAAGGCUCGAGUCCGGAAGAGGGGGGCGGAAUUCCCAGUGUAGCGGUGAAAUGCGUAGAUAUUGGGAGGAACACCAGUGGCGAAGGCGGUCCCCUGGGCCGGAACUGACGCUGAGGCGCGAAAGCGUGGGGAGCGAACAGG
rnacentral:rRNA from 1 species